UGAACGCUAGCUACAGGCUUAACACAUGCAAGUCGAGGGGCAGCAUUUCAGUUUGCUUGCAAACUGGAGAUGGCGACCGGCGCACGGGUGAGUAACACGUAUCCAACCUGCCGAUAACUCGGGGAUAGCCUUUCGAAAGAAAGAUUAAUACCCGAUGGUAUAAUCAGACCGCAUGGUCUUGUUAUUAAAGAAUUUCGGUUAUCGAUGGGGAUGCGUUCCAUUAGGCAGUUGGUGAGGUAACGGCUCACCAAACCUUCGAUGGAUAGGGGUUCUGAGAGGAAGGUCCCCCACAUUGGAACUGAGACACGGUCCAAACUCCUACGGGAGGCAGCAGUGAGGAAUAUUGGUCAAUGGGCGCAGGCCUGAACCAGCCAAGUAGCGUGAAGGAUGACUGCCCUAUGGGUUGUAAACUUCUUUUAUAUGGGAAUAAAGUUUUCCACGUGUGGAAUUUUGUAUGUACCAUAUGAAUAAGGAUCGGCUAACUCCGUGCCAGCAGCCGCGGUAAUACGGAGGAUCCGAGCGUUAUCCGGAUUUAUUGGGUUUAAAGGGAGCGUAGGUGGACAGUUAAGUCAGUUGUGAAAGUUUGCGGCUCAACCGUAAAAUUGCAGUUGAUACUGGCUGUCUUGAGUACAGUAGAGGUGGGCGGAAUUCGUGGUGUAGCGGUGAAAUGCUUAGAUAUCACGAAGAACUCCGAUUGCGAAGGCAGCUCACUGGACUGCAACUGACACUGAUGCUCGAAAGUGUGGGUAUCAAACAGGAUUAGAUACCCUGGUAGUCCACACAGUAAACGAUGAAUACUCGCUGUUUGCGAUAUACAGUAAGCGGCCAAGCGAAAGCAUUAAGUAUUCCACCUGGGGAGUACGCCGGCAACGGUGAAACUCAAAGGAAUUGACGGGGGCCCGCACAAGCGGAGGAACAUGUGGUUUAAUUCGAUGAUACGCGAGGAACCUUACCCGGGCUUAAAUUGCAUUUGAAUAUAUUGGAAACAGUAUAGCCGUAAGGCAAAUGUGAAGGUGCUGCAUGGUUGUCGUCAGCUCGUGCCGUGAGGUGUCGGCUUAAGUGCCAUAACGAGCGCAACCCUUAUCUUUAGUUACUAACAGGUCAUGCUGAGGACUCUAGAGAGACUGCCGUCGUAAGAUGUGAGGAAGGUGGGGAUGACGUCAAAUCAGCACGGCCCUUACGUCCGGGGCUACACACGUGUUACAAUGGGGGGUACAGAAGGCAGCUACCUGGUGACAGGAUGCUAAUCCCAAAAGCCUCUCUCAGUUCGGAUCGAAGUCUGCAACCCGACUUCGUGAAGCUGGAUUCGCUAGUAAUCGCGCAUCAGCCAUGGCGCGGUGAAUACGUUCCCGGGCCUUGUACACACCGCCCGUCAAGCCAUGAAAGCCGGGGGUACCUGAAGUACGUAACCGCAAGGAGCGUCCUAGGGUAAAACUGGUAAUUGGGGCUAAGUC
rnacentral:rRNA from 1 species